ACUAUCUUGAUGGAUCAAGUGAAACAGUUUGCCAGACCGAUGGUACUUGGUCUGAUCAACCACCUGUUUGCAAAUGUGAAGCUCCACCCGCAAUACAGAACGGAUCCUACUCAAUCUCCGGUGACGGACAAACUGUUACUUACAGUUGUAAUGUUAGCAGCUCAUUGGUCGGAAACACGUCCCAGAUAUGUGACUCCGAGGGAACAGGCUGGCUAGACACACAACCGGAGUGCGUCGUCUGCGAUCUACUUACAAGCAUAACCAAUGGUUCAGUCAAUCUCAAUACGGACGGUGAAACUACGUCAGCUACCUUUACA